GUCUGCCGUGAAUAAGGUAGGCUACGUAUUUUUGACGAACAGGAGUUGUGAUGGGAAAACGAUGAGUUUUCUCUGUGAGCAGUCGGAAAGAGUGAAUAUUUAAUGCCGAGUGACUUCAGCAGCUUGAACAGGAUUUGCAAACCAGGCAGACACCGGGUCAGACGCAGCUCAGGAGUGGAGUGGAGCUGUCAAAGACACAAUGAAAUGGAUUUAUCAUCUCUAUUUUUAUGUACCACAAGUAUUUGGAAUCUUUAGUCAUUUCCAUUAGGAUUUCACAUAAUAGCUACUUUAAAUACAAGAGCCUUACAAUAAUGUUUUUACAUCAGUAUCUUAAUUCACUGUAUGCCAUUUUCAUACAGUGCUGUUAAUAUUAAAAUGUAAACUUGAUGUAAUGAUGAAUAAAACAUUUUUGGAUCUUUUGUCAUUGGCACCAGUAAAUCAAAGAGCAAUAUUUUUCUUUCAACAAAGUAACAUCAGUGCAGAUGACAGGAAUUGUUCAGCAUUUGAUUACUAAGAUUGGCUAGCAGCCAUAUCACCAUGUAGCCCAAGACUGGUUGCCCACUGAAGCUAAACAGGGUUGAGCCUGGUCAGUACCUGGAUGGGAGACCUCCUGAGAAAACUAGGUUGCUGCUGGAAGAGUUGUUAGUAGUGUAAGGGUCUGUGUGGCUCCUAACGCCCCAGUAUACA